GGAGCUGGUAUCGCUGUGAGGCUGGGGCUGCCUCACUAUGCAAGCUGGGAGGACAGCACAGAGGCCAGUCCCUAAGUCACCCGGGGUCUAUUUGCUGAAUGAUUAACUGAGGAGAAGCAGAGGAAGAAACACUGCCAGGAACUAGAAGCAGCAGCAACAUUGCAGUUGGCACUCUGAUCUGGAACAUACUGACCUGCGAGCACAACAGUCUGGAUUGCCUGCAUUCGACUUCCCAGAAAUACCAGGGUUUCUCACGGCAGAACGUUGGAACCUGAGGUUAUCUAAAUCUUUGUUCUGAAAUACUUUGAUUUCCAUCUCCUAUACAGUAAAAAGCACUGGGUGUUCCAGAGCCAAGCUCAUGAAAGAAGCCCUGGUUGUGCAGGAAUGGAGCACACCCGUUUGGGAGGAAGCCCCGAGGUCCCAAGCAAACAUGCUGUAAGCAAGCCCUACGCCAGAUAUCCCAAAGCUUGCAAAUAACUCCGGAAUCUGAUGUCCUCUUCACCAGGCAUGCUGUGGUCCCAGAUACACAUGCAGGGUUUUGUCCUAAUAACUCACUGGAGGACAAUCUAGAAGAUCACUCCUCAGAGACUCCACCUUCUCCAAAGACCCACGAGAACAGGGCUCUGUGCUGUGUGGCCCCACUUAUCCAGUGCUCACAGACGCAGAUCUGACACGUGAUGGUGGAGGCCCCAGGGUAAGUCCUGUCCUGGCACAUCCCUGAGCUGAUGGAGUCACAUCUCAGAACAGAACUCUUCUGGAGGCCUUGAUCCUGCAUUCAAAAUCCCUUCUCUCCUUUUAGUUGGAACAGAACUUCCAACUAAAGGAAACUAAGAGAAACUAGGAUUAAAGGGCGGUGGGGGAAGGGAACGGGUUUAAGCUUCACCUUUGCUUCAGCAGUAAAUGUGGUCAGACACACAUCUAACAGGUUAUCCCCACUGCAAGAGUAUGUCCUUUGUUCUAAGACAGGACACAGGUGAACACUCUUAAGAGACUGCACUCAAACUUGAAUAGGGUGACAGGGAACUACAGUGGAGGAGUCGCCAGCAAACUAGUUUGCAGCUGAGAAUGGGUCGCCCAGCAGGCAUUCCCAAGAACACUUCUGCCAGCACAUGGACCAGGCUAGAGCCAAAACCAUGCUGGCAUUCUUCCACUCUCCUUCCUCAUACUGCCAACACUGGCCCUGAGGGAUGCUACUGCAGGCAAGCUCCCUGCCAACCGUGCUCCGGAGGGAAUGAUGCUACUUACAUCAUCUUGUACAUCGAGGUCACAGCCAGCCUUCAGCAAAAUCUGCACCACAGAAAGAUGACCCUUAUUGGCAGCAAGGUGCAAGGGGGUCCGGCCAUGCUGUUAAUGCAAAACAAAACAAAAGAUUGGUUUUUAGAACAAGAUAACCCAAGCAGGCAGGACACUAAAGAAAGCAGAGAUGAUGCACCAGCUUCUAAGAACAUCCCUUCCCCUAACCCAAGUUGUUCUUUUCCUCUGGCAAGGGAUUCUCAACUAAUUUAUCCAGAAUUAAAGUUGCCUUGGUUAACUUUGGUC